GAAUAUUCCCAUCAUGCUUGAUCCCUUCACGCAACAAUACUACCUCAGGUGGAGAGGAACAAGAAAGUACAAACAACCUGGAGUUGACAACUCUAGGAUUUAUACCUUAUGUUCCCUCCUCCCUUACUCACCAAGCCCUUCGAGACCUUCGAAGCAUUUCCGCACAAGCAAUUUGUAGAAUAAUAUGGCUUUCUUCAUAGAGAACACUUCAUACUGCUUAGUUAUGCUACUUCUAUGUCAUCUUGUUUACAACAUUUCAGACCGCUCCCCCACUUACUGCCUUAGCCCAUCUUCUUAGGCAGCUAUCAAUCAGAUACCGGAGUUGAACAUCUCUUUAACUCCUUGGUAAUAGAAUCAACUCAAUCUUGAUCACCCUUUUCUCUACACCAUAUUCUCCAAGUUUUGACCUUAUUCAGGACGAUUUUAAGCUUAGUCAUGUCUCUUGAAUUUGUUGUCACAAUCCGCUUACUCUAUUAGAAUCAAGUGCCACAUUCUUUUGUGUCAGCCCCAGAUGCUGAACAGCUCCUUUAUGUACGUUCCUUAUGAAUUGGAGUUUACCAACUCUCUUGAAUAACAAGUGUUACAUUCCUAUAGUAAAAUUGAAGCUUAUCAUUUCAUAUCCCUUUUCUCAUGUGUAUUGUGAACAUACUCUAUCCAUAGGACUUUACACUUUCCUUCUUUGAAUAAAUUUAGCUUUAUAGUUCGAUCACAUAAAUGUUGUUCUUUGUAUAUCUGCAUAGUCACAAUUCCCAAUAACAUUAAUAAAUAAGUUCAUACUAAAGAGAAAAUUAUUUACCUCCAUCCCACGACAACGAUUAAGGUUCUAGGAUUCCACCCUUGCCUACUUCAUAGGCAUUAGUUCGUAAUUCACGCCAUUGAUAAGUAUUCCGCUGGUUCACUUCUGGAGUAUUGCUCAUAGUCUAUGUUAUGUCAUAUUUAAUAUUCUUGCACCAUUCCUGCAAGAAAAAAACACAUGAAAGGCAUAUGCCUCAAUUCUGUCUCAGGAGGCCUCUUGCCUCAAUUCUGAGUGGAAUAGUCUCGGGAUUCUCAAAUGGCCUCAAGCUCUAUUGGCUUAUCCUCCCCCUUAUAACUAUACCAUGAGGUCAUUACUUCCUCUCCAAGGGCCACUAAAAGGGAGUAUGUAGCACCUAGUCAUUACCCUCUCUCCAUAAGACAUUCUCAAUGGAUUGUGCAGUACUGAGUCAUUACCUUUCUCCCAAUGGUGUCCCUAGUGGAGCGUGCAGCACCUCUAGUUAAUAUGGCCGAUCUAGCCUGAAGGCUCUCGCUUUUGUCUUCCUUACCUCACAACGUGCUACUACUCCUCAUAGUUUCAUAAUUAGGAGGUCACUGCCUCCUCCUUUCAUCACUUUACACUCAAGAUCACCCCACCAGGUGUCAUUCGCAUGGAAGAGGUUUUGGGAGGCCUCAAUCUCCCGACAAUUUGGCUAUCAUAGCCAACAACGUUCAUUUUUCCCUCUGUAGUGCCUCAAGGUACUUCUAACCAGAAUCAAUCUCCAACGCCUUCCCCUCUUAGUUGGCAUAGGCAUCCAACCAGGCAGCACGAUUCUCACCCUUCUCUCAAGGGCCUUCCUGCGUGUGCCAAACUUUGUCAUUCCCUUAUAUUGCUUGUAGAUCUUCCUUUGCUCUGAUACCAAUUGUCACGGUUUCAGAUUUUAGCAGUCGCCUGAAACCAUGCGGUACUUGACUUGAACACCUUCAAACCAAGUUAGCCUUAAAAAUCGCCCGAUACGCUGUGAACAUGAUUUCCCUAAUUAGUCAAGGUUAUAUAAGCAAACACCGAAACCAACAGGCAGCAUUCCAUUAGAAGCCUCAUAGUAGGCACAAAAGAAAAGAAUUGAACAUUAAAAUUCAUGAUCAGGCUACUUAUUUUAUUCCAGGGGCAAAAUAGUAAUUAUACAUUAUUAUCGACGCAAUGAUUCUCACCUCCCUUGUAGACAGGGGGGACAGUCUACAAGGAGUGAAGGCACACUUGAGUCUAUAAGGAGUGAAGGCACACUUGGGAUCUCCGUAGGCCUACAGUAGUCAACUGGGCCCAGCCCCAGCUGGUGGCCAACUAGUCACUCCCCCUAAAGAGCCUUAGGAACAACUUGAUUUGUGGUAGAAGGAGAAAUCAACAUGUCUCAUAUGACACCUCCAAAAUAAAUACAAGAAAAGGAAUUUCAACAAAUUGUCUCGGCUCUUAUCUUCCUAAUAAUUCCUACUAAUUUAUCCCAUUAUUGUUUCCUAGGAACUCCAAUGUUGAAAAAUUACAAUUUUGAUCCCUGAAAACUCUGUAACCCUGAGACAAAGGAAAGAUCUAAAAAUCUUAAGCGUUACAGUUUUGAUCCCUGAAAACUCUAUGACCCUGACACAAAGGAAAGAUCUAAAAAUCUUAGGCGUUAGAAUCACAACCACCAAAUCUCCAAAUUCAACGUCUGAAACCUCGUCAAAGAUCCUAGUACCUUUCAAAUCCAAACCAACUCAACGACAUUAACAAAAAUUUAAGUUCCAAAAAACCAGCACCUAAAGACCAAGGCCCAUUAUACUUCAAAUGGGACCAAACCUCCACUCUGUGCCUCAAACCAAAGGCCCAAGUGAGCCAUUUACUUGGGAGUUGCAGGCAUGGCCACUCCAGUCUUCUCCCAGUUUGUAGCUUAACAUUUCCGUCCAUAUAUACUGGAGCAUUACUAUUUACUGGUUUCAGCUGACAAGUAUGAUUAGCCAAAUUUGCCAUGCUAGAACCUUAAAUCUCUUAUAGCACAAUUUGCAACCUCAAAUCUCUUUUUCGUGAAAUAAUGAAUAAAUAAAAGAAUCAAGUGAAAAACGCAUUCAAAAUUUAAAACCUGAAUGAACCAAAGCACUUUGGUUCUUCAUGUUCAAAUCAAUUAAAACAAGAAUAAAUAAGAGCAGCACACACGAAAAAAUAUCAGAUACAAAAAACAAUUAAUUUAUUUCCCGCUGAUGAUGACAAUAAUGGCCACCUCCAGAUAUACAUUCCCUCUUUCCUUGGUGAGCACGUGCCAGUUACCAAUGGGAAAAACCGACCUCCUUUCAAUCACGAAAGGAAUGGAUGAAAAUGCCAAAAUAUUCAAGGCUACAAAAAAUUGAAGACAUGUAUGUCUACAUGGAUUUUCACUCUUUCUGAAGCUCUUACUGCAGGUAGUAUGCCAAUGUCCACUAAAGUAUUUCAAGCCAAUCCUUCAGUUUGCAACAAUCCGGGAUAGAGCAUAGAUAUUGUCUGUUUCAAGGAUUUUACUGAUGCUUUUAAGAAAAUUUGCCCCUCCAUUGCUACAAAAGCAAACAAAAUCAGAGAGUUAUUAACUUAUUACACUGCAGAAAAUUGAAAAAGACAUAGAUGAUUGCUAGCAGGAGCAGGUUGAAAAGGGAUUUACCUUUUAACAGCAAUUUGACUUCCUUUGAGAAAUCCUCCACGCGCCCUAAUACUGGUCUUAUUCCACAAAUCUGCAGAACACAUAACUCUAAAUAUAGUGCCAUAUCCAGCAUUUGAAGCAUUAAGAGACAGACUGACUGGAUUUCUGGAUCAAUUUGCUUCGAUUUGUUUGCAUUACACAGUUCAGAAACAAUAGCAAUUGCUUGAUCCUGCAUAUUCCAGAAAAAUAGUUAGUCAACAGACAUCAGAGAAAGAAAAAAAGAAACUAUUGCUCAUCUGUUAUGGGAGUUAGAGAAAGUAAAAAACAACCAAAUACUAGGCAAUCAAUCCUUGACUUUGAAUUGUCCCAAAUUUUCAGUGACUCCUAAUUCAGAUAAUUGAACGAGCAGAAGAAAUACUGAUAUUACCUGCAAGCCAUGUAAUAUCUCGGGCAUUGGAAGCUCAGGAAUGUGGGCAAGAUCAAUAAAUCCCACUUCAUCCGACCUCCUAAGAGCACCCUCUGCUUCUAAACAGAGAAAUUCCAAUAGAAGAAAUGCAAUUCUAUAUAUCUGCAAGGCAACUAUGUCUGAGAAAUAUGUUGGAGAAACAGUAUUUGUAGUUUCAGUUGAUUGGCUCUUGAUUACAAGAGCAGUACCGGUGACUGAGACAGUGGAAAGUUUGGGCCUUGAUGCACAACAAAUAGGUGAAAGCGCAAACCAUCCAUUGCUGAUAUUUAAAAAGGUUGGCUUCUUGCAGCAAUCAAAUUCAUCUUUGAAGAUAGGAGGACAGAAAAGAGGGGCAGUUCUGCUGGGAGAUUCUCCAAGACGAUGAAUUCCUCGGCUAAUAAAGGCCAAUAGAUGGACACUUUUCUCCCGCAACUGUGAAUCCAUUUCUUUCAUGGCCUUAACCCACAAAUUCCGAUGGUUUGCUAGAGUGCACAUAAACAAGAGGGUAUGCUCGGUUUCCUUGAGAGCACUCAAAGAAGUUUGUGUCCUUUGUGCUCGCAGUCUUUUCUUGUCAUGAUUAUCAGAUGGAAACUCAGGUGCAUCAAGAUAAUAAGAAAUCAAAUGAGCUUUCUCUGAAAAGAAAUAAGGUAUUACAUUGUCCAUUAGAUCGGAGUAGUAAGAGUCUCCCAAAGAAUGAAUCACAGCUGUGACCACAGCCAAGCCAAGACCCCAAAUGUGUUGUGGCUUUUCUUCUUUCUCAGAUGGCUUUGUAAAGCUAUCGUUAUUAACAACAGUUGUGGAAGGCCUACCACCUAGUAGGUUGUCAAACAAUGCCCUAAGAGAUGAGAAAAAACCAGCAUUAAGAAGCAUCUCAGCGCCUCCUCUUACCUGUGCUAAAGUCAAGAGGAGCUUCAAUGCUACUGGAAUUGAUGCAAAAGAAUCAUCUUGAAGCUUUAGAAUGACAUGCUGCAACUGGAGAUGUGUCCGUAUGACAGGGAACCAAGUACCAGGCGCCAAAAAACUUCUUAGUAUAAAGUCAAUGAUAGUCAAGGACAGGCCACUAUGUUCAGCAGUAUUAAUACAAUUACAUAAAAUAGGCAAUAGUCCAAGGCAAACGUUGGAAAUCUCAGCAAAGCCUUCAGACUCCUUGUCUGGAGUUUUACUGCACUCCACUGCAAAGAGAAGCAGCAUAAGCAAGACCUUCAAUGUUUUGUUACGCCCAUUAAUGGAUGAACGGAGGCCAGUCAGUAUUUUUAGGCCAGAACCUGAGGUUUUCAAAACUAGUAUACAAGCAGAUAAAGACAAGUUGCCUUGGGCUGAUCUUACGAGAUGGAGAAGCAAUUCUGCUUGUGCAGAAAGGAAAUCAAGAAUCUCUUCAGAGGCAUAAAGAACUGCAGUCAAUGAUUGAACUGUGACAUGAAAAUGUUGGCAUAUUUUAUCAAUGCAUGAGAAGCAGAGUUGACGGGGAAUCUUUCCUCCAACUAUAGCCUUUUUCACCAUAGCCUUUUUCUCUGGCAACUUCACACAAAUAGAGUUGAAUCAUUUUAACAAGAGGGGAAAUACAAAAAAAUGAUCUAAAGUAUAUAGAAAUAGAUGAAUAUUAAUCUAAAUUAUGAAAAAUAUACAAAUCGAUAUAUCCCAUCCCAUCCCAUCCAGCACACCUGGCACCCCUAAUAGUAAUAACAAUAAACAAGAAUAGAAAGGAAAAAGGAUAAAAGAAAAGGGUUAAUUGGUAAACUGUGCCCUUGAUCUUGAUAAAAAGGCUAAACAUCUGAUAGGCAGGCGCACCAUGUUUAUAUUCAAUAGCUAGAGCUUAAAGCCAAUAUUUCAUCUAUUAUUAAACACAGUGCUUCUGAUGCUUAUGAAGAAAGAAAAUGUAAAGAUCAAAGGAUAACAUAUAUUCUGAAAGAAAGAAUGUAGUAAGCUAACAUCAGUCAUGGGUCACUUCUUCACAACCUGUUGGAAGAAUAACAGGCGGAUGCUCUAAGCCAAACCAAGAAAUGGGUCAAAUAAUACCAGCUGCAAUUUUGAAAGGUAGUCAAGUUCUACUUUAAAAAAACUGGCAGUCAUACACCCCAAUUUCCCCCACACCUGGUGCCUAACCUUGAACAGAAUGCUCAAGACACAUAAUUAAAACAUUGUACUCUUAACCAUUCUCAAAGGACAUGAUCAUGAUAUUGCACUCAACUAUAAGGAAGUUAACUUCAAAGACACCAAUAAAAAAUAAAUAUACAGGAGUUAAACAAAUAAUUUAGAAAAAAAAAUCCCCCCAAACCUUUGAUUAUAGUUAACCACAAAAUAAUAGUUUUAACAAACAUAUGAUAACAAUUCUUUAUUCAGUUUACAGCUCAACGGUUUUCCAUGUCAAAACUGUAACAAACCAACCUUGUAGAUCUUAAUGGUGCAAAAAAUUUGGCAAUGCAACGAAAACUAACAAAAAUUGCAUACUUACAUUAUCUUCAUACAAAGUCAACACAGUUAUCAAGGCUUUCAGAGCAGAAAACUUUGAAGUUGAAAGUAAAACCAUUGAAUUCACUUGCUGCAUGCAAUCCAACAUUGUUUCCGCAAUUGUUUUAGAUUCUUUCCACUCAGUAUAAUCCCACAUAUGUAGUCCCAAAUCUGUUUGUAUAUGAUUGAGAUCAUACAAGUAGAUGCUUUUGGCAUGCACAAAAUAUUCAUCAUUGUACUUUUGUUGGUAUGUCUGCAAACAUUUUGAUUCAAUCAGACAUAGAGAGAGUUCUUUGAAUGGCCCAGGACCAAUUUCACGGCCUCCGAGCUCCCCUUGCAGAUGAUAAUAAAGAUCAUUGAGAAUUAGACUUUCUAGCUCCUUUCCCUCACUGAAAGUUAAAAAUCAGAAAAAUAAAAAUCAAACACAACAUAAACAUUUUCGGGACAUAAAAAGAAGCCAAGCAUAUUAGACACAUACAAGCAAACAAACCAAGAAAGCCACUUAUAAUGAAGUUAUUUAUUUUACUUUUUUUUUUUUUUGAGAAAAAUCAAGCAAAUAAACCUACCUCCACUUUUCUUCAUGUUAUUUCAAAAAUAGUUACUUUACUCUUUACAACAAUAUUUGAAGAGUUAGAACAGAGAGAAGGAUGGUUGGAGUAAAUUAUCUUGAUUAUUAUGUCAAGCCUUUUGGGAGAUAAAUAUGGUUUUACAUAAAUCCUAAUUAGGAAUACGAUUACAAGCACUAUACAGGCAUAUUAUAUUACUCUGCCUUAUUAAGAAUAAUUUCCUCAUCUAAGGCACAACUAAAGGGUAUCUUAACAUUAUUACUGAAAAGUGUAUAUUUUAGGAAUUAAAGAAUUUUGUAAAACAAAAUAAUAAAACCUCCAUGAGCAAAGAUUUAGCGCAUCCAUAUUCCAUAAAGCUCUGAUAAGUAGGAGCUUCAGGAGAGCAAUAGUUAAAAAAACAGAUAAUAAUAUAGUAAAAAUAAAGACUUUCAGUUUCUUUGUUCAGCUUAUCCUAUUUUUUGACUGAUACUUUGAUAGCUUUUUGUCAAAUCCCAUAUUCCAUGGAUAUGCACAGUUCUAUCGAUAAUAAUAUGUUCAGUUUUGGUUCUGGUAUGGUUCUAGUUAAAAACCAAAGUCGAAACCAAACUUCGGUUCUUUGGUUUUUUUAAAACCAAACUUGGAACCAAAUUUUGAUUCCAGUUUCGAUUCAAUUCUAAAUAAUUUUGAUACGAUUUCGGUUCAGUUCCAAUUCUUAUUUAAGAUCUUUUCAACUUUAAUUUUAGUUGUAAUUUUGGUUCAAAAUCUUAAUUAUUGCAUAUAAAAUUACAAUAUUCUUAUAUUCAUUUUUAAAAAGUAAAUAAUUUUAAUAACAAAAUAAAAAUAUUAACAUUUAAACAAUAAUAAUAUUAAUAUUAAAAAUAAAUUAUAAAUAAUUCUAAAAUUGAAUAUCAUUUUAUUUUAUAUAUAGUUAUUAAUUAUAUAAGUUUUAAUUAAAAGAUACAUGAGUAAUUAAUAUAUAAAAGUACAUUAUAUAACUAACAUGUGAUUCACUCUAGUGUUAUAAAGGUGCCGGAAAGGCACCAGGUAGGCAAGUAACAGGGCCUUUUUUCUAUUUUAAGUUGAAAAUGUGUUUUCAGUGAAAAAAACCCUAGUCUUUUAUUCUAGCAGCCGUCCAACAAAAGUCAGCAACUCUUCAUGGCCUCUCAAAGUUUCUCCCAUGACACAGGUAUGUUUCCUGUUCUCUCUCCUUAUUCCCUCUUUCUUUUCUUCUCUUCUCUUCACUCCCUUUUUUUUCUUCUCCUCUUCUUCUCCAUAACCUCUCUACACACAGCCUGAUUCAGAAUUUCUUUUUCCUAACAGCAACUCCCUCUCUCCUCUUCAACUUCAAGAUUCAACUCUCCUUUUCGUAAAAGGUAUGUUCUCUUCUCUCCUCCUCUCUUUCUUUUAUUCUUCUAUCCCUCUCAAUGAUGUUGUCAUGUUCUACCAGUAAUAACUUUUUUUUGUUCUAACAACAACCUCUCCCUCUCCUCUUCAACAUCAAGUUGACUCGGGUAAAGUUGUUAUGAAUCAAGGUCAGUUGCAAAAUUAACUCCAAUUCAAACUUCAUCAAUCCAAGGGUCAAGUUCAAAGAAAGUUUCAUUCUCUUCAAGAAUAGUUGAUGAUGAUGAUGCAGCAGAGUAAGAAUUUGUAAUGGUUGCUUGUGAAAAUGAUGAUUUUGGAGACCUUGAUGCUGAUGAUGAGUAGUUUUAUAUAUAAUGAAGAUUUUAGGAACAUUAUUUAUAAAUUAUGUUCUGCAUUUACUACUUAACUUAAUUGACACUUACUGUAAUUUUAUUUUAUAUUUAGAACUUUUGAAAUGAGUUGUUUUAUUCAAUAAUUUUAUUGUUAUUUACAUAUUUGGUUGCUCAUGCUUCUUACGCUUUACGGUUUCAAUUUUAUUUUAUACUUAGCUGGAAUUGCAAGUAUGCACUACUUUUGCACUUCACUUAUAUUAGUGCAAAUAGCAUACAUUUCUUCUUUUUUUUUUUACAGUUUUUUCCUUAAAAAACUAGCCAAAGUUUGAUAUUUUUAUGUUGCAAGACUAUAUUUAUGUAUGCAUAUAUAUAAAAAUAUAUAAAAAAUUUUAGCUUUGGCGCCUCUUCAAAAAGGCAAUCACCUCUUGCCUAAGGCAACAAGGUACCUAUUGCUUUAGUGUUGCCUCUCUCCUUAACAAUACUGAUUCACUCAUAUAAUUUAGAAAUAUAAAAGAAUUUAAUGCAUUUAUGACUUAAAUUAUUUUAAGCACUAUAAAAAUAAAAGAUAAUAUUAAAUUAUAUACAUUCAUACUUAAACAUAAGUUAUAUAUCUAUAUGCAAUUAUGAUUAGACAUAAAUAUGUAUAUAAUUUUAUUAAAAUUAUAAAUACAUCUAAAAAACAAAUUUAUAAAAUCAGUUCUUUAGUUUGAUUUCGGUUUGAUUUUUAAUAAAGAAAUAGAACCAAACGAAAACAGAAAAUGUCAAUUUAGUUUGGUUCUUACAGCAGCGGUUCUUUUUUGGUAUGGUUCUUUGAUUUGGUUCAAGAAUCCGAAAAAUCAUGCACAACCCUAGAUGAUACUAAGGAGAUGCUUGAGAAUAUUUUCUAGGAGACAAAGGCUCAUCAAGUACAAUUGGAGAAGUCAAUUUUGCUGCAGACUUGUAGCUAGUUAUAGGCUUAUACCAUUCAGCACUCUCACUCUGAAGAGGAAUACUUUUGUUUGAGUUUUUGCCAAAUAGGUUGGAGCCAGAAAGAUUUUAUGUACAGGUGUUUUAUACAAGUUGCCUUUCCCAUAAAGUUGAGUUUUAAUAGCACCGUUUAUCAUAGACACACAAAAUAAUAUAAAAAUUGAGGGACUAAAGUGUUGUUACUGAACAUAUUAGGGACGAAAGUAUAAUGAAAAAGUAUUGCAUCUUGUACAUCAAGGGCUAAAGAGUAGAGAAGGGAAGAAAAUAUAAAUCAGGCCAAACUUCAAAAGGGGUUUACUAUUGUUGGAAUUGGUAAAGAUUCUAUACUCCAACUUAAAGGGAGCAUUAUUGGAAGUUAUUCCUAUUUAUUGUAGGACUUAUAUCCCUAAAUAAGUAAAGAAAUUUUAUGUUUAUAUAUAUCUAUUAGUUGGAGAAUCCCUUGUUUUUGGUAUCAUGCCAUAUAUACUUUGGGUUUUCCACUAUAAAUAUGGAAGUUUAUGCAUUAUGAGAAUAGAAUGCAAUUAAAUAAAAAUGUAGCCCUUUGAGGUUUUGCAUCCGUGGAUGUAGACUCUUGUAGCCGAACCACUUAGAUCUUCUCCUAUUAUUUUCUUCUUUCUCUUUUAUUAUUCUAAAUUUAACAUGGCGCUUCAAUACUAAGAUUGAAAGCAAAAUUAAAGUUAAAAUAUAACUAAUAAAAGCACCGGAACCAUAUCGAAAUUGCUUAAACCAAGCCGAAACCAAUACCAAGUUUAAUUCAAAGUCUGGUUCCUAAAAAUAAAAAGGAUGAAAGUAUGAUUAUAAUUCCAGUUCUUAGCUAGAAUUGUGUUGGAAUCAAAACCAAAUACUUAUAUUCCCAAAGUAGUUAAAAGCAUAAGGCAUAGUCAAGUAGAUGUAUCACGCCACCGCUUAAAGCACUAUAAAAAGUGUUCACUUCAUCGAAGAAGUGCAAAUUAAAAAAAAAAAAAAUUAUAAUAUGCAAUGAAUAAAACCCUCCCUAUAAAAUUUGAACCCUUAAGAAAUCAUCAAACAUCUAAAAGUUUUUAGCAUUCAAAUUCAUAAGCAUAACCUAUGAAAUUCUUUAACAUAAAUAAAGUCUACCGUUCAAGAGAAGUGGCAGCCUAGAGAGCUAUUCACUAGAUUUUCCAUCAAAGUCCAUAACACCCUUUAACGUCAUUUUUUUAAUCAUAAUACUCUUUAAGAAAAUAAUUUUUUAAAAAAAAACUCUAAAAUCAAGGGCUUCCUUUGCUUUGCACUAAAAAUGAGACAUGCACUAAAAACAAAAAGCCCUUGCUUCACUAAACGUGCUCUUCCCUGCUUAGCAUAAAUGCACUUCCCUAUUCAAUGUUGUACUUCAGCACUUUUUGUGCAUUUGACUACAUCGGCCUCCCCCUUCUCUGUCAUUUUUCCUACUAAUUUAUCAUACUUUUGUAUGGGGGUAUUUAGCACUUUACGUUAGACAUAAUCCAACCAUUUUAAACUAUCCUCUCAUUUUACCUCAACAUGUGUUACAUGCAGCAUAAAAGCUUCUGUUAAAACAAGAAAAAUAUAUUUAAGAGCAUAACCGGUGGUUGGUUUUCCCUAGAAUAUAAUCAACCAAGAUUGAUGGACUUUAUACAUUAACUUUAGGAAGAUUACAUGUUUAUGAGCACUUCAACUAAAUAAAUCUCAUAUCCACAAUCUCAGUCUAAUAGAUUCCUUGGUUAUGAUUGGUACAUUUGACAAAAGUUCAAAUACAAAGCUAGAACAUAUAUGCACAUUACCUGUAACCUCGUUUUGAGUAUUGAGCCAACAAUUCAGAGAAGGCAGGCUGACACUUCAACUGUUACAAGGGCAAAAAGAAAAAGACAAAAUCUGACCUCAACAAAAUUGAACAGAAAAGCAGGAAAAACUGAAUACAGCAGUUAAAAAGGAAUUACAAUGAGCUUUCAAAGAGCAAACCAAAUGACUCAUAAUGUAAGUUUAUUUUUUCUUCCCUUGAAUUGAAUAAAAAAAAUUUUUCACGUUGCUUUAGCCUCAUCAGAACCGGUCAUUUUCUGGGAUUGGCAGUGCCAUUAGGAUAAGUUCUGGGCUGUUCGGUUUCUGGCCUCUACUGAUAGAACUUGCAUUUUUUACCUCAUGAUAUUCCAGUUCAUGCUCAUUCUUUAGAUGUGGUUUAGUUCUUCACACUGAUACUCUUAUUGGUUCAUAUGGUCUUGCUACUUGCUAGGUUGAGGUAACAUCUUGGACUUUUACGUUUUUUCUUAGCAGGUGUUUCUUAAUGAAUGUACAUUAAUAUGUAUUAGUGACUAUCUGAUUUAUCAGAAAAGAGAAACAAUCUGGGUUAUCUUUGAACAGUCGGCUUAAUGUGAAAAUAACAAGUUGGCCAUCUAGAGCAAGGAGCAUACAUCUUCAAAAGUGUCACGGAUCUUCUUAAGCAAUGAUGCAGAUAAACUUCCAGUGUUGCCAGUUUCUAACCUCACAAUCACAUGGACAAUGAACAUACUUGCAGAAACCUGCAAAUUGCAGAGAACAAACUCAUUAAUGUAGUAUCAACAAUUACCAUUAUUUGUUACUAGAGGGAGUUAAGACACCAAGUGGACAUAAGAGAAUCCAAUGAGAAUAGAGACAGAAUGUAAGUUAACAUGAUCCUAGAUAAUGAAACGAGCACAAACACCCAUCCUACUCAAAGAAAAAAAGGACGGAAGGAAAGUGAAAAAGAUACCUUUGCACGAUAAAAAAUUUGAUCGUCAUAUUCACAGUAAGUAUAUGACUUCAUUAGGUUCCCCAAAAUGGAACUAUCACACCAACUCGACAAGAUAUCUUCCAGCUCAAAAUCACUUGCAGAUUGCAAUUUUUCUGUACCACCCACAUUUUCUGUGUUGCCCUUAGAAUGAGGAGCUUCUUUUAGAAGCGACUCCGCAUGCAACAUUUUUUUCUUCAGAAACAUCUCAUAUGCCAUUAUUUCCAAUACAGCAGAUUGACAGCAAUAUUUGUAUACCAAGCUUUGAGCUUCCACUUUGGUCAAAUUUUCAAGCACAGAAGUUUUCAAGCUAGUAACUACUGAAAUACAGUUACAGAGUUGCUUCCAAAAGGUUCUAGUGCUUUUCAGAUGCUCCAAAACAUUAAUAUACUGAACAGCCCCUUCCCACAAUGCCUUUAAGAAAUGUAAUACACUGAGCAAUAUGCGGGGAUUGCUGGAGAAUAAGAGAAUUAAUGGAUAGUAAUGUAAAAUAUAAAAGGUUCAAUUAUAUCAAAUAAGAACAAAUUCAAAAAAUAAUAUUUUGUAAGAUAUUGGGAAUUCUACAAAAUCCAUCAAUUUUGACUUUUAGACCAUAAGUUCUACACUAGCUCUCCAAGACUUCGUUCUUGUAUGUUGUUAGAAUUGACGAGGUUCUCCUUAAAUUAAGAAAGAAAAUUACUCCUUAAUAUAGGGAUUUAUUAUCUCCUUAAUUUAAGGGAUAUAUCUCCCUAAAUUUAAGGAUUUAUAUUUUGAUAAUUUCUCAAUAAAAAUAUGCACUAUGUAUUAUGUAAGAGUUGUGGAAAUUGAGUAAAGAUGUAGCCCUUUUAGUUAUUUUUCUCCUCUUCUAUUGUUUCCCUUUCCUUUUUCAUUUUCUCAUAAUAAAAAUUUCACAUGGUGUCAGAGCCAUUUAAAUUUCUAGCUCUCUUUUAUGUUCUUCUUCAGAGUUUAGAGUUGGGCUUGGAGUCCCAACUCACUUUUUCCUUUUCUUCUCCUCAUAGUUUUGGACAUUCAUCUCUAUUAGAAAAUUCUGGGGGUUUCUCUUGCUUAAUCUCCCUUAAAGGUUCUGGGAUU
rnacentral:lncRNA from 1 species